AGAUUGAACGCUGGCGGCAUGCCUUACACAUGCAAGUCGAACGGUAACGCGGGGCAACCUGGCGACGAGUGGCGAACGGGUGAGUAAUGCAUCGGAACGUGCCCAAUAGUGGGGGAUAGCUCGGCGAAAGCCGGAUUAAUACCGCAUACGACCUACGGGUGAAAGCGGGGGAUCGCAAGACCUCGCGCUAAUGGAGCGGCCGAUGUCAGAUUAGGUUGUUGGUGGGUAAAAGCCUACCAAGCCGACGAUCUGUAGCUGGUCUGAGAGGACGACCAGCCACACUGGGACUGAGACACGGCCCAGACUCCUACGGGAGGCAGCAGUGGGGAAUUUGGACAAGUGGGGGCAACCUGAUCAGCCAUGCCGCGUGCGGAAGAAGGCCUUCGGGUUGUAACCGCUUUUGUCGAGGAAGAACGCUCCAAGCUAAUACCUUGGUAAUGACGUACGUGAAGAAUAAGACACCGGACUAAC
rnacentral:rRNA from 1 species